rnacentral:tRNA from 1 species
UGGGGCGUGGCUCAGCCUGGUAGAGCACUCGGUUCGGGACCGAGGGGUCGGAGGUUCAAAUCCUCUCGCCCCGACCA